UGGGGAAUAUUGCACAAUGGGGGAAACCCUGAUGCAGCGACGCCGCGUGAGCGAAGAAGGCCUUCGGGUCGUCAAGCUCUUUUAUGAGGGAAGAUAAUGACGGUACCUCAAGAAAAAGCCCCGGCUAACUACGUGCCAGCAGCCGCGGUAAUACGUAGGGGGCUAGCGUUGUCCGGAAUCACUGGGCGUAAAGGGUUCGCAGGCGGAAUAACAAGUCAGAUGUGAAAGGCAUGGGCUCAACCCAUGUAAGCAUUUGAAACUGUAAUUCUUGAGAAGUGGAGAGGUAAGUGGAAUUCCUAGUGUAGCGGUGAAAUGCGUAGAUAUUAGGAGGAAUACCUGUGGCGAAGGCGACUUACUGGACACAAAUCUGACGCUGAGGAACGAAAGCGUGGGUAGCAAACAGG
rnacentral:rRNA from 1 species